rnacentral:misc_RNA from 1 species
CUCGGCUCAACUCGUUUUUAUUUCAUUUUCCAAACGAAGCAAACUUGAACUUAUUAACAUUCAACUUGAGUUUUAAAAAUUUUUCACAAUCUAAACAUUAACUCUUCAAAACUCGCCUCAGCUCAGCUUAUUUACAACUCUAGUUAAAAAGGAUGAGAUUGUAAUUUCGAAAGGACUGUCCUAAUUUGUAAUUACAGGGAAAAAUUCCUAUGUAAAUACCACUCAUCCACAAAUGCUUAUACAAGAACUAUAAACAUCUUACUUCGACGAACUUGCUCAACUAAAGCAUGUCUCUUCCGCGGCAAAGUCCUGCAUUAUCAAAAACCUGAGCAAAACAGCGUAAUCCAAGUUUUACACAUUUUACAUGGAAAAAUAGUUUUACAUUGGCAAGAAUGUUACAAUGAAACAACCAAAACCGAAAACAACUUAUUACAUUGUACUCCCAAAGUUCUGGAAGUUUGGCUCUCAGCCAAACCGAGCCUCACAUACCUUGAUGAAGGUUUAAAGAAAAGUCAAUCCGCAAUUUUAUCAGUAAGAUUAAACCAGCACUCAUUUCUUUAAUAGCAAUGCACUGCAUUGUGCCAUUAUCUUUGACGCCCGGGUAAUGGAAUCAGUCAUGUAAAAAUUAUCUACAGCAGCCUUAAAUGGAGUCGAACUUACAUUUUGAGUGCACUCUAGCUUCAAUGAAGCCCCAAAUGUAGCGGGCUCUCUCUCAUCCAUGCUCAAGAGGUUUGGUGCUACAUUUCUGAUCCGGGAUCGGAUGGCCCCAAUUGUAUCAUAAGGCAAGCGCACCCCUGCAACUUCAGAGAGAGCCCGAAUUAUCUUCCAGUCGUCCCUAGCAUCACCAACUGUUGGAACUGCUGGCAAAGUCUGUUGUGCACACCCUUCUGUAUUUUCAUACGUCCCCUCCUUUUCAGUGAAUGCCGCUGCUGGCAAAAUGACAUUGGCAUGAUAUGCCCCAUGAUCACCAUGGUGCCCCUGAUAAACCACAAAGGCAUCCUUCGGCAGUUUGUCCAAGUUCACAUCAUCAGCACCCAUCAAAUACACAAAUUUGGCAGAUCCAAUGCUAUUGCUGGAUUCUGGUACAAGUCCAAGGUCAAGAGCAGCCGCUUGGGCAGCAUUGAGAAGCAAAAUAUUGAACCCAUUCCAGUCAGGUCUCACAAUGUUCCCCUUUUUCACAAUGGCCUCGACAGUAGUAAAAAUUGCAUCCUUGUCUGGUCUCUCAAAGAUUCCAGCACCAACGAUGACUGCUGGGUUUUUGGCAUUCAAGAUUGUCGAGAAAAAAGGAUGACGGCCCUCAGCAAUUUCAACAAGAGUUUGAGGGCCAGUACCAAGAUGCUCACAAUCAUAGUUGAAAUUAAUGGGAGGGCCAAUAUAACCAACCUUAGCAUUGGUUGCACGAACUGUCUUGCGAAUUCUGGCAUUUACCAUGGCAGCUUCUAUCCUUGGCUGGUAAUUCAUCAGAAAUAAUGAGAUCAUAUAAUCAAUACUCAGCUUAAAAUGUAUCCAUGCAUUUUAAGAAAAUAAUGUAUAACUACCAAUUCACCCUUCCUCUAUUGCACUUUAAAUUCUCAAACAGAAUACACCACAAACAAGGCCCAUACAAAGAGCAAAAAGAUUCCUAAUUGAGAGCUAAAAAUAUAAAAAGAGAAGGCAACUAUAAUCCAGGUGUUUGGUAAAAGAAUAAUAAUUAAUAUGAUAAUGCAUUACCUGAGUACCAACCAAGAGGAAAACAUCCACCUUCUCAAGCCCACUAAUGCCGGUAUUCAUGAUAUAUCCAGAUCGUAAAUCAGCGUUUGGGCUUGGGCCAUUUCCUUCACACCACACAUUAUUUGAACCCAUUCUGUUUAAGAAAUCUUUCAGUACCAUCAUGGAUUCAGCAUCACACAGCUUACCAACAACUCCAACAAUUUCCUCUGGUUUAACUUGAUGUAAAACCUCUGCAACUACUGCUAAGGCAUCUCGCCAACUUACAGCCUUGAAGCGCCCAUCAGCACCACGAAUCAUAGGAUCAUUUAGCCUCUGCCUCUUCAAACCAUCAUAAAAAAACCGAGUUUUAUCUGAUAUCCAUUCUUCAUUUAUGUCCUCAUUUAAUCGUGGAAGGAUGCGCAUGACCUCUGGACCUCUACUAUCAAUACGAAUGUUGGAUCCAACUGCAUCAGUAACAUCAAUGCUCUCUGUCCCUUUCAACUCCCAGUUUCGGGCUUUAAAUGCGAAAGGUUUUGAUGUAAGAGCCCCAACAGGACAGAUAUCUAUCACAUUUCCAGAAAGUUCACUUGUCAUAAGCUUUUCAACGUAAGUGCCAAUUUCUUCUCCACUGCCACGACCUAGCAUGCCGAGAUCCUGGACCCCAGCAAUUUCUGUAGCAAACCUGACGCACCUUGUGCACUGAAUACACCGAGUCAUCACUGUCUUCACC